rnacentral:lncRNA from 1 species
AUGGAGCCUGUGCUGGGGGACCUGGAGCUGAGAGCACCCCUCCUGCCCUGGGGCCCCUCACACACACAGCAGACCGUCCAGAAGGACGGGCCCAGGGUGUGGUCUGUCCCGGACGCCACGGGAGGACAGGUGGGGGAGGACUUGGCUGAGGAGCAGCAGGCGGGCAGUGGGGCUGCACCUGAAGUUGUAGCUCCUCUCCUGCAGCUGGAAGGAGUCGUGGUGCUGGCAGUCAGAGCCCCCGGCGUCCAGGUCACAGUCCCAGGGGCCAGGGAUGCCCAGAGCACCGACCUACACACAGUGCGUCACUGUUCCACCAGCACGCAGGCCCAGGGCCCUCUCUCUCCCCAAGCCCUCCUAAAACUCUGCCUCCCAGAGACCCAGCAGCAAUGCCAGGUCCUCAAGACCCCUCCAGCUAUGGGCAUGGCCAUAAGGUCCCUGAUGUGGAGCACAGGGCAGGAGGGGCUGAAGCAUGGGUCACAGUGGCAGCACUUGAAACAGGUGGUGUCCCAGGUCUCCAAGACAUUGGACCUGAGAGGGAUUGCAGCCGGGGGUUUGGGCAAGGACGGGAACAAGGAGGGUCUGGGGCCAGCCAGGACCAGCCAUGCUUACCUGGAGAAGUUGAACUUGUUGAAGGUGACAGGGUUUUUGAUGAACAGUGUGAAGUUGUCAGCCUGGACCAGCGGGGCCUUCCUGCAGGUGGGGGGAGGUAAGGGGCAGGCCCUGCUGGUCCUGGGACCCUUCCCUGGGUAUCGAGGACACUUACACCGGCAUAGUGUUGCUCUCCACGAGGCACCAGCCUUGGAUCUCACAGGUCCUGUGGGUCCCACUGAACACCACACACUGGCCCGUUUUUAUGCCUUGAAAACACAAGACAAAUUCCAAGCCCUCCAAUCUCCACAGGGCCUGGGAAGGGAGUGGCAGGGGGCUGUUGGCAGAAAGAAGAGACGCAGAGGCACCACCAGGCCUGCACGCUGGAGCCACCCAGGGUCCCAGCACGGCCCCCUGAGCCCCCAUCCCAGUGGAGGUGCCGGAAGACAGGGCCCUCAGUUAUGUGGCUGUGCAUUCCCGUCUCCCCUUCAGGACACUCCUCGUCAGCCCGGCAGGUUCCCAGUGGAUGGAGGGUGCUGA